UGGGGGAUAUUGCACAAUGGGCGAAAGCCUGAUGCAGCGACGCCGCGUGGGGGAUGAAGGCUUUCGGGUUGUAAACCUCUUUCGCUAUCGAACAAGGCCCGCUUAGGGUUGGUUGAGGGUAGGUGGAGAAGACGCGCCGGCUAACUACGUGCCAGCAGCCGCGGUAAUCCGUAGGGCGCGAGCGUUGUCCGGAAUUAUUGGGCGUAAAGGGCUUGUAGGCGGCUUGUUGCGCCUGCUGUGAAAACGCGGGGCUUAACUUCGGGCGUGCAGUGGGUACGGGCAGGCUUGAGUGUGGUAGGGGUGACUGGAAUUCCAGGUGUAGCGGUGGAAUGCGCAGAUAUCUGGAGGAACACCGGUGGCGAAGGCAGGUCACUGGGCGAAUACUGACGCUGAGGAGCGAAAGCAUGGGUAGCGAACAGG
rnacentral:rRNA from 1 species